UACGUAGGGUGCGAGCGUUGUCCGGAAUUACUGGGCGUAAAGCGUGCGUAGGUGGUUUGUUAAGUCUGAUGUGAAAGCCCUGGGCUCAACCUGGGAAUUGCAUUGGAUACUGGCAGGCUAGAGUGCGGUAGAGGAUGGCGGAAUUCCCGGUGUAGCAGUGAAAUGCGUAGAUAUCUGGAGGAACACCGGUGGCGAAGGCGGCAUCCUGGACCGGUAUUGACGCUGAGGCGCGAAAGCCAGGGGAGCAAAGCGGG
rnacentral:rRNA from 1 species